rnacentral:piRNA from 1 species
UGCAGCUAUAGAUGACACUAAAUCAU